ACCUUGCAUAAAAGCUGGUAGUGAUAGCAAUCCAAAAUACUUGCCAAUGGAGGUAUGCAAAAUUGUGGACGGACAGAGGUAUAUUAAGAAGUUGAAUGAUCGACAAGUAACUCAAAUAUUGAGAUAAACUUGCAAGCGUCCAGCUGAGAGGGAACAAAGCAUUUUGCAGUUGGUCAAGAAAAA